rnacentral:rRNA from 1 species
GUGGAUUAGAUACCCUGGUAGUCCACGCCCUAAACGAUGUCUACUAGUUGUCGGGUCUUAAUUGACUUGGUAACGCAGCUAACGCGUGAAGUAGACCGCCUGGGGAGUACGGUCGCAAGAUUAAAACUCAAAGGAAUUGACGGGGACCCGCACAAGCGGUGGAUGAUGUGGAUUAAUUCGAUGCAACGCGAAAAACCUUACCUACCCUUGACAUGGAAGGAAUCCCCGAGAGAUUGGGGAGUGCCCGAAAGGGAACCUUUACACAGGUGCUGCACGGUUGUCGACAACU